GGUGGCUCAGUGGUAGAGUGCUUGCUUCCCAUGCAUGAGGCCCAGGUUCGAUUCCUCAGCACCA
rfam:Dipodomys ordii contig_27257, whole genome shotgun sequence.